GACGAACGCUGGCGGCGUGCUUAACACAUGCAAGUCGAACGGAAAGGCCCUGCUUUUGUGCGGUGCUCGGGUGGCGAACGGGGGAGUAACACGUGAGUAACGUGUACUUGACUUUGGGAUAACUUCAGGAAACUGGGGCUAAUACCGGAUAGGAUCUACUGCUGCAUGGUGGGGGUUGGAUAGUUUCGGCGGUUGGGGAUGGACUCGCGGCUUAUCAGCUUGUUGGUGGGGUAGUGGAUUACCAAGGCCUUGACGGGUAGCCGACCUGGGAGGGUGACCGGCCACAUUGGACCUGAGAUGCGACCCAGACUCGUACGGGAGGCAGCGGUGGAGAGGAGUACACAGUAGGAGGAAGCCUGGUGCGACAACGCCGCGUGGGGGAUGACGGCUUGCGGGUUGUAAACCGCUUUCGCCUGUGACGAAGCGUGAGUGACGGUAAUGGGUGAAGAAGCACCGGCUAACUACGUG
rnacentral:rRNA from 1 species